AACUUUCGGCAAUGGAUCUCUUGGCUCUCGCAACGAUGAAGAACGCAGCGAAGUGCGAUAAGUAAUGUGAAUUGCAGGAUUCCGUGAAUCAUCGAAUCUUUGAACGCACAUUGCGCCCCCUGGUAUUCCGGGGGGCAUGCCUGUCCGAGCGUCAUUGCAACCCCUUCAAGCUCAGCUUGUGUGUUGGGCGUCGUCCCCGCUGGACGCGCCCGAAAGGCAGUGGCGGCUCCGUGCUUCGGUGCCCGAGCGUAUGGGCUUUACAACCCGCUCUAGUGGCCCGGCCGGCGCUGGCCCCCCGAGUCUUAACUGGACUCCAGUUAAGGUCUCAACUAAAUUUCUCGUGGUUGACCUCGGAUCAGGUAGGGAUACCCGCUGAACUUAAGCAUAUCAAUAAGCGGAGGCU
rnacentral:misc_RNA from 1 species